UUUUGCCGCCUUCAUUCUUUUAUUUCAGUUCCCUUUCGGUAGCCCUCGAGUUUAUCAGUUCACAAAUCAACCUCUUUUGCCCCGCAGACCGCAAUUUUUCAUUAUGGCCGGAGUCGUGAAGAAGCUGCUUCAGAAGCUACCAGAUCAAAGAAUCAUCACAUGUCUCAACCAUCAAAAGCCGUUAACUCCUUUGUUUCCAACAACUAUCCAGCAAACCUUACUCGACCCUCAUUCUUUCGUACAAAAUCCCAGUUCAAAUUGUUCAGCCGUGGAGAAAUUUGCCCACAAAAAUGACUUUCACAUUUAUCCCAGUUUUUCAUUUGGGUAUUUUUUGUAUCCAAUCUUCUCAUCUGGGCUAAAGUUAGAUCAGUCUCAAUCACUUGAAGCAAAAAAUUUGGACUUGGAUGAGUCAAGACUCAUGUGGGCUGACAGUGUCAAGAAGAAGAGAAAGAGGAAGAUGAACAAGCAUAAGUUGAGGAAACUUCGCAAACGCCUUCGAGGCUAUUCAUGAACAAGGUUGCUUUCAGAAUUGGGAUGAGGAGCCUCAGACGAGUAGUGAAGUGCUUCUCCCCUCCCCUUCCCCCUCCCCCACAAGAAUAUAUACUCUUAGCAAUUAGAAACUUUUAAAAGGCUUGUGCACUUUGUGGCUGUUAUGAUUGUCCUCUUGUUCCCAGGCAAGAAAACAAUUCUAGGCAGCAAGUUGUGCAAGAGCAAGUUGGCAACUUGGAAGCGUGCAGCUGCAAAACAAAGCAAUUUUUUUAAUCGUAAGGGGCUGAAACUUUUCUUUUU